rnacentral:rRNA from 1 species
AACGAACGCUGGCGGCAGGCCUAACACAUGCAAGUCGAACGCCGUAGCAAUACGGAGUGGCAGACGGGUGAGUAACGCGUGGGAACCUUCCCUAUGGUUCGGAAUAGCUCAGGGAAACCUGGGGUGAUACCGGAUAAGCCCUUCGGGGGAAAGAUUUAUCGCCAUUGGAUGGGCCCGCGUCGGAUUAGCUAGUUGGUGGGGUAACGGCCUACCAAGGCGACGAUCCGUAGCUGGUCUGAGAGGAUGAUCAGCCACACUGGGACUGAGACACGGCCCAGACUCCUACGGGAGGCAGCAGUGGGGAAUAUUGGACAAUGGGCGAAAGCCUGAUCCAGCCAUGCCGCGUGAGUGACGAAGGCCUUAGGGUUGUAAAGCUCUUUUGGCGGGGAAGAUAAUGACGGUACCCGCAGAAUAAGCUCCGGCCAACUUCGUGCCAGCCGCCGCCGUAACAC